AGUAGCAUGGCUCAGUGGUAAGAGCAUGGGCCCAGGACUCAGAGGUCAUGGGUUCGAAUCCCAACUCUGCCA
rnacentral:tRNA from 1 species